rnacentral:rRNA from 1 species
AACGAACGCUGGCGGCAGGCUUAACACAUGCAAGUCGAGCGCCCCGCAAGGGAGCGGCAGACGGGUGAGUAACGCGUGGGAACGUGCCCUUUGGUUCGGAACAACUCCGGGAAACUGGAGCUAAUACCGGAUAAGCCCUUCGGGGGAAAGAUUUAUCGCCAAAGGAUCGGCCCGCGUCUGAUUAGCUAGUUGGUGGGGUAAUUGCUCACUAAGGCGACGAUCAGUAGCUGGGCUGAGAGGAUGAUCAGCCACACUGGGACUGAGCAACGGCCCAGACUCCUACGGGAGGCAGCAGUGGGGAAUAUUGGACAAUGGGCGCAAGCCUGAUCCAGGAAUGCCGCGUGAGUGAUGAGUGCCUUAGGGUUGUAAAGCUCUUUUGUCCGGGAAGAUAAUGACUGUACCGGAAGAAUAAGCCCCGGCUAACUUCGUGCCAGCCGCCGCGGUAAGAC